AUUCAUGUACCAUUCACUCAUCUCUCCUUUAGUGUGGGACUGGGUGCGUCCUCCCUACCAGGUCACAGUCAAGUGACGGUCUGGGAGAAGUAGUGUGGGACUGGGUGCGUCCUCCCUACCAGGUCACAGUCAAGUGACGGUCCGGGAGAAGUAGUGUGGGACUGGGUGCGUCCUCCCUGCCAGGUCACAGUCAAGUGACGGUCCGGGAGAAGUAGUGUGGGACUGGGUGCGUCCUCCCUGCCAGGUCACAGUCAAGUGACGGUCCGGGAGAAGUAGUGUGGGACUGGGUGCGUCCUCCCUGCCAGGUCACAGUCAAGUGACGGUCCGGGAGAAGUAGUGUGGGACUGGGUGCGCCCUCCCUACCAGGUCACAGUCAAGUGACGGUCCGGGAGAAGUAGUGUGGGACUGGGUGCGUCCUCCCUGCCAGGUCACAGUCAAGUGACGGUCCGGGAGAAGUAGUGUGGGACUGGG
ensembl:lncRNA